UUNAGANUUUAGUGGCGAACGGGUGAGUAACACGUAAGCAACCUGCCUUUAAGACGAGAAUAACAAUUGGAAACAGUUGCUAAGGCUGAAUAGGAAAUAAAAAGGCAUCUUUUUAUUUUUAAAAGACCUUCUUCGGAGGGUAUGCUUAAAGAGGGGCUUGCGUCACAUUAGUUAGUUGGUAGGGUAAUGGCCUACCAAGACGAUGAUGUGUAGCUGGACUGAGAGGUUGAACAGCCACAUUGGGACUGAGACACGGCCCAAACUCCUACGGGAGGCAGCAGUAGGGAAUUUUCGGCAAUGGAGGAAACUCUGACCGAGCAACGCCGCGUGAACGACGAAGUACUUCGGUAUGUAAAGUUCUUUUAUUGAAGAAGAAACAAUAGUGGAAAAACUAUCUUGACGUUAUUCAAUGAAUAAGCCCCGGCUAACUAUGUGCCAGCAGCCGCGGUAAUACAUAGGGGGCGAGCGUUAUCCGGAAUUAUUGGGCGUAAAGGGUGCGUAGGCGGUUUAAUAAGUCUCUAGUUUAAUUUCAACGCUUAACGUUGUCCUGCUAGAGAAACUGUUUGACUAGAGUGAGAUAGAGGUAAGCGGAAUUCCAUGUGUAGCGGUAAAGUGUGUAAAUAUAUGGAGGAACACCAGAGGCGUAGGCGGCUUACUGGGUCUUUACUGACGCUGAUGCACGAAAGCGUGGGGAGCAAACAGGAUUAGAUACCCUGGUAGUCCACGCCGUAAACUAUGAGUACUAAGUGUCGGGGUUAAACUCGGUACUGAAGUUAACACAUUAAGUACUCCGCCUGAGUAGUACGUACGCAAGUAUGAAACUUAAAGGAAUUGACGGGAUCCCGCACAAGCGGUGGAUCAUGUUGUUUAAUUCGAAGAUACACGAAAAACCUUACCAGGUCUUGACAUACUCUGCAAAACUAUAGAAAUAUAGUGGAGGUUAUCAGGGAUACAGGUGGUGCAUGGUUGUCGUCAGCUCGUGUCGUGAGAUGUUAAGGUUAAGUUCUAAAACGAGCGCAACCCCUGUCGUUAAUUGCCAGCACGUUAUGGUGGGGACUUUAGCGAGACUGCCAAUGAAAAAUUGGAGGAAGGUGGGGAUUACGUCAAAUCAUCAUGCCCCUUAUGAUCUGGGCUACAAACGUGAUACAAUGGCUAUUACAAAGAGUAGCUUAAACGCGAGUUUUUGGCAAAUCUCAAAAAAAUAGUCUUAGUUCGGAUUGAAGUCUGCAACUCGACUUCAUGAAGUUGGAAUCGCUAGUAAUCGCGAAUCAGCAUGUCGCGGUGAAUACGUUCUCGGGGUUUGUACACACCGCCCGUCAAACCACGAAA
rnacentral:rRNA from 1 species